rnacentral:rRNA from 1 species
AACGAACGCUGGCGGCAGGCCUAACACAUGCAAGUCGAGCGCGCCCUUCGGGGUGAGCGGCGGACGGGUGAGUAACGCGUGGGAACGUGCCCUUUUCUACGGAAUAGCCUCGGGAAACUGAGAGCAAUACCGUAUACGCCCUUUGGGGGAAAGAUUUAUCGGAAAAGGAUCGGCCCGCGUUGGAUUAGGUAGUUGGUAGGGUAAUGGCCUACCAAGCCGACGAUCCAUAGCUGGUUUGAGAGGCUGAUCAGCCACACUGGGACUGAGACACGGCCCAGACUCCUACGGGAGGCAGCAGUGGGGAAUCUUAGACAAUGGGGGCAACCCUGAUCUAGCCAUGCCGCGUGAGUGAUGAAGGCCUUAGGGUUGUAAAGCUCUUUCAGCUGGGAAGAUAAUGACGGUACCAGCAGAAGAAGCCCCGGCUAACUCCGUG